rnacentral:rRNA from 1 species
AGGACGAACGCUGGCGGCGUGCUUAACACAUGCAAGUCGAGCGGAAAGGCCCUUCUGGGUACUCGAGCGGCGAACGGGUGAGUAACACGUGAGCAACCUGCCCUCAGCUCUGGGAUAGCUCCGGGAAACCGGAAUUAAUACCGGAUACGACUACGGCCGACAUCGGCUUUGGUGGAAAGGGUUUCCGGCUGAGGAUGGGCUCGCGGCCUAUCAGCUAGUUGGUGGGGUAAUGGCCCACCAAGGCGACGACGGGUA